rnacentral:lncRNA from 11 species
CAAAGAUAAUAGAAACAGGUUGAAUGUUUCAUUAAACAGUUUUCAAACCCAGAUGAAUGGGGCCAAGAGGGAAAGACUGAAUAGCUGAGCAAUGACUGGAAAGAACAUGGAAAGAAAUAAAAAUUUAGUACAUCUGGCAUGCAAGGAAGCUGCAUAGCUUUUAUCAGUUUGUGUAAUGAGGCAAAAUAUUAAAAUAGACCAACUGACCAUGGAGGUUCAUGUGGCAGGCAUUUCAAAAGGAUGGAGGAGACUGCCUGAGAAGAGGAUAAAAUAAUCCCAAAUCAAAGAGAAAGUCACAUUUAAAGAGAAAGGGGAAGGUCUUAUGGAGAAAGAAGGACAGAGACCAAAUCUGAUGAAAUACAGUGACCCCACAGAUGAUGACAGAAUCAGUACUCUGCUGAACAUCCCAAGAGAAUGGAUCAACAUCUUGGCUUUUUGAGUGGUAAUGUUGUCUUCUAAGUGUGAACAUUUUUCAAAUGUUCUGUCUU